rnacentral:sRNA from 1 species
GCUGGGUGCAGUGGAGCACUCCUGUGAUCCCAGCAGCUCGGGAGGCUGAGGCAGGAGGAUGGCGAGUUCAAAGCCAGCCUCAGCAACGUAGUGAAGCCCUAAGCAACUUAGCGAGACCCUGUCUCCA